ensembl:lncRNA
AUUCCUACCCUGCCGAGUGUUUGUGUGUGUGUGGGGGGGAGGGGGGCUCCACAGUCCCUGAGACGCAGGAAUAGAGCUAGUCACGCAACUCUGUCCUGUUCAGCCUUCCCCCUCCUUCUCUCUCUCCUCUCUGUCUGUUAUUACAGGCUUUUCAGUAUCCUACAAUCACUCUCCCACUGCUGAUGUUGUUGGCUCAGACUCACGCUGUUUAAACACCAAGAGGAGGGUGUGUGCAAACAACACCAGAGCAGUCUCUUCUCCUGCAGGACCUGAGCCCUAGGACCAUGCCCCAGGACUACCUAACAUGAUGACUCCUUGCUGUCCCCAGCCCAUCUGACCGUGCUGCU